rnacentral:rRNA from 1 species
GGAAUCUUGCGCAAUGGGCGAAAGCCUGACGCAGCGACGCCGUGUGGGUGAUGAAGGCCUUCAGGUCGUAAAGCCCUGUCAGGGGGGACGAAAUCUUGGCGACCUAAUACGUCGCCGACUUGACGGUACCUCCACAGGAAGCACCGGCUAACUCCGUGCCAUCAGCCGCGGUAAUACGGAGGGUGCGAGCGUCGUUCGGAAUCACUGGGCGUAAAGGGCGUGUAGGCGGCCUUUUAAGUCUGAUGUGAAAGCCCGGGGAUCACCCCCGGAAGUGCAUUGGAUACUGGAAGGCUGGAGUACCGGAGAGGAGGGUGGAAUUCCUGGUGUAGCGGUGAAAUGCGUAGAUAUCAGGAGGAACACCUGUGGCGAAGGCGGCCCUCUGGACGGAUACUGACGCUGAGACGCGAAAGCGUGGGGAGCAAAC